rnacentral:snRNA from 1 species
CUAGCAUUCUCAGCUCCUUGGAGCUAAGAUCAAAGUGUAGUGUCUGUUCUUAUCAGUUUGAUCGCUGAUAGGUCCUUUAUUUAAGGACUGUGUAUUAAAUGAUUUUUGAACCAGGGGCUGUACUAAGAGCUUGUUCUGUCCACCUUACACAUUGACCUGGUAUUGCAGUAUCUUGGGUGCUGGGGGUGGGGGCAUGAAG